AUGCCACACAACACCGGGAAACCAACCCCUCUACCUGCAGCAUGCUGCCGGCCGCCUGCGUUGCCCCGUGCCAUGUUGUCUCUGCUAGCUAGCUGUAGCCAUUCAGGAGGAAUCAGGAGCGUCGAAGCUCAGAAUAAGUUGCAUCUCCAUAUAUUUAGUCAGGAACGGAAGUUGAGAACGAUCAGCAGGCAGAUUAGCCUUGUGCAAGUACUUGGAAAUGGUAAUGUGGCUCCCGUAGCUGGCCUAUGUUUUCUCUCUCUCUCUCUCUCUCUCUCUCUCUCUCUCUCUCUCUCUCUCUCUCUCUCUCUCUCUCUCUGA
rnacentral:rRNA from 1 species